CGUCAACAUUCAAGAUGGCUGCCUCUGCUGAGAACAGACCCUCCACCUCUGGGAUUUCCACUGCUUCCUUUUAUAAAAGCAGAGCCCUGCAGGUAAAAAAAAUAUUUUGGGAUAAAGUAACAUCUAAUAAUUACUAUAGUUGCAAAAAAUUCCAUGCAUUGCUUUUAUGUUCUGAGGAAAUUGGAAUUUUCCAUUUGUCCACUAGGGUGGACAGCAUGCAUGACUUAUACUAUUUCUGCUACAAUACAUGCAAAUGGUGUAACUCCUUAUCUCUGCAAAAUGCUUGAUUUCAAGCUUACCUUUUCAGUUAAAACCAACCAUUUUAUGUUAUUAAAAGGUAACCUGUAUUGUAUGUAUCAAAAAAUUAAUGUUGUGCAUGUAUUUUAUAUUUUGUGCAUGCAUAGUAUAUAUUGUAUUUUGUGCAGCCUUUGUGCAAAUUUUGCAAUGUUUAUAAAACAUUUUUUGCAAAAAUAUAUUUUGUGCACGCAUUGUAACACACACACACACACACACACACACACACACACACACACACACACUACAAACAGUGCAUGCACAAAAUAUUAUAAAAACAAUGGAAAAAAUAUAUAUACAUAUAUAAGAUAAAUAGAAAGAAAGAUUGAUUGGUUGUGCAAUAUUUUUCACAUUAUGUUAUUUAUUAUAUGCAGGGUUCACGCACAGAGAGAGACCAGAGGAAGUACAGAAAUGUAGAGGAACUGCCAUUGUCCAGCGAUGCAAUAUCACUGUGUGCCUUAUUUUCAAAUGUGAACUAAUGUAGUACAGGGCAUCGACAACUGAACGUGUUUGGAUAGUCACUAAGUCACUAUUUCUUUUGUUUAUUAUUGUAAUUAUUAUUUUCAUGAAUGAUCCAAUCUAUGGCAUUUGUUUUUGCUUUGAGUUUGCUGGCUGAAGUUGUAGCACCUGGCCUGAAGCCUAAUUAGGCUAAUGGUAUCAGUUCGUUUGACACAGUUGACAGUUGUUGUUGCUGUUGUUUGACACAAGCCAUGUUUUGUAAUGUGCAUUUAAACAGAAUUUAAAUGUUUUAAAAUGUGAAUCUAAUUGUUUUGACUCCUUUUGGGGUGGAGUUCUAUUAUUUGUAUUAAUACAAUUCAUUUUCUGUAAUGUCGACCAAAUGCAUGUUGU